rnacentral:snRNA from 1 species
AGACGUGAGGGUGGUCAGGUUGCAACAUCUGUCACCCCAUUGAUGGCCAGGGUUGAUACAGCUGAUCUGGCUUGCUAGGCAAGUGUCUCCUUCCUCCCUCACCAUUCCAUGUGCAUUUCCUGAAACUGCUCAGUUAAAAAGGGCGGCCUUCUCCAGAUAAAAACAGACUUCAAUGAGGAUAUACGAGUAGCUGUGCUCCCCUACUAGAACCACCAGGCAAGCCUUCAAGGAGUAGUAAAGACCAAUGUUUAUGAAAUGCGGCUCUGAAUUUGCUGGUUU